rnacentral:rRNA from 1 species
UUUGGUGAUGAUGGCAGAGAGGUCACACCCGUUCCCAUACCGAACACGGAAGUUAAGCUCUCUAGCGCCGAUGGUAGUUGGGACCUUGUCCCUGUGAGAGUAGGAAGUCGCCAAGC